GACAGAGGCCCCGAGCGUUAGGCGGAAUCACUGGGCUUAAAGCGUGUGUAGGCGGGCCCGUAAGUGUCUUGUGAAAUCCCAUGGCUCAACCGUGGAACUGCUGGGCAUACUGCGGGUCUGGGCCAACUAGGGGCAGCCGGAACAAGCGGUGGAGCGGUGAAAUGCGUAGAUAUCGGGAGGAACACCAGUGGCGAAGGCGGGCAUCUGGGCCAACACUGACGCUGAGGCGCGAAAGCUAGGGGAGCAAACAGG
rnacentral:rRNA from 1 species